rnacentral:rRNA from 1 species
AGUUAGUGGCGGACGGGUGAGUAACGCGUGGGUAACCUGCCUUGUACUGGGGGACAACAGUUGGAAACGACUGCUAAUACCGCAUAAGCGCACGGCUUCGCAUGAAGCAGUGUGAAAAACUCCGGUGGUACAAGAUGGACCCGCGUCUGAUUAGCUGGUUGGUGAGGUAACGGCCCACCAAGGCGACGAUCAGUAGCCGGCCUGAGAGGGUGAACGGCCACAUUGGGACUGAGACACGGCCCAAACUCCUACGGGAGGCAGCAUG